AACGAACGCUGGCGGCAUGCCUAACACAUGCAAGUCGAACGAGACCUUCGGGUCUAGUGGCGCACGGGUGCGUAACGCGUGGGAACCUGCCCUUAGGUUCGGAAUAACUCCCCGAAAGGGGUGCUAAUACCGGAUAAUGUCUUCGGACCAAAGAUUUAUCGCCUUUGGAUGGGCCCGCGUUGGAUUAGCUAGUUGGUAGGGUAAAAGCCUACCAAGGCGACGAUCCAUAGCUGGUCUGAGAGGAUGAUCAGCCACACUGGGACUGAGACACGGCCCAGACCCCGACGGGGGGAGGGAGGGGGGAAUAUGAGAAAAGGGGAGAAGGCCUGACCCAGCAAGGCCGCGGGAGGAAGGAGGCCCUUGGGGUAGAAAAGCUUUUUUCCCCGGGAUGAUAAUGACAGUACGGGGAGAAAAAGCCCCGGCUAACUCCGUG
rnacentral:rRNA from 1 species